GCAGUAGGCUUGCAUUCUCAAACUCUUCAAUUCAUAUUCUCAGCUUUUUCUACUACUAGUUCACAUAAUGGAAAGGAAAAGAAAUAGCUACCCCACGGAUGCGUGUGAAAAGAUCUACAAAGCAUUCACUGUCUCUCCUGCUUUCCAUACGAUUCGUCGCAUAUCACAUCGCGUACAACAUACCGGAUCUCCCAGCCCUGCUUCCAAUUCUUCGGCUUCGCCACCUGCUCCCUUUGGGAAAACCAUUGAUAUACAAUCCAAAUCGGGCUCUUCAAACCAUCCCAAAUCAUCUAGAAAUAGUGAAGUUGCUGCCUUGGUUCCCAUAAACUUUGACUAUUCAAGCCUGAAUGAGAAACCAAAGUCAUCUACUCCACCUGAGCUCGUUCAGAAAAACACCCAAAUAGCAAAAGUUCCUUCCAAGAUUGAACCUGAAACUACACCAGCAAACACUAUUGCUGAUGAAGUAACUAAGGUCAAUCCUAAAGUAAAAUCGGAAAAAGGUGGAAAAUCAGGAGUGCACAUUGAAGAUAGAGUCACUGACUACAUCAAUCGUGCAAAGCUUAUGAUCAGAAACAUGUCAAGAUCAAGUGAAGGAAAAAAUGGCACUAGAAAAGAUAAAGAAAAGUUAUCAGACAAUAUCUCAGAGAAGGAUAAGUUUUCGGAUUACAUUGAUCGUACCAGGAAUAAGCUCCAAAAAGCAUCAAGCAUUGGAGCUGGAGAGAGCAACUCUUUCAAAUGAAGAUGUGACGAGAGGCUAUUGACGAACUUCCAGGUAAUUAAGAGGCUUAAUUGGAUGAAUAAUGAUGGUUUUAUUAUGGAUCAAAUGAUUGCCAAAUCUGUUUCUUUUUAUUGUUUUUUUAAAUUAUUGAAUUGUCAAAUAUGUUUAUUACUGUAUUCAUUAACGAGAUGGUUGCCUGUACUAAAACCUUAAUAAUAAGGUUUUUCCAUUUGGAUUGGUGAAAUCACAAUGGAAAGAUGUUCUU
rnacentral:misc_RNA from 1 species